rnacentral:lncRNA from 1 species
CACCGUGGCUAUUCCCAAUGCUACGAGGCAGCUACUUCGUCCCAUGUUCGACCCACGCUGAUUCAAACAAAAACGAGUGCAACUUGUUUUGUCUCGAUUGUGCUGGAAAUGCCUUUUGCUCGUACUGUUUGGUCAAACAUAAAAACCAUCGUGUUGUUCAGGUCCAAUAUCUCUUUUCUUGUUUUCCCAAAUUAUUUGUUUAUUAAUGUUAAAAUAUAAACGAAAAUGGAAUUAAAUUGCAGAUAAGGAGAUCUUCUUACCACAACGUGGUGAGAGUGAAUGAGAUACAAAAGUAUAUAGACAUCACUUGCGUUCAGACAUACAUCAUCAACAGCGCAAAGAUCGUGUUCCUCAACGAAAGACCUCAGC